UGGCUGUCCUGGAAAAAAAAAAAAAGAAAUAAGCUCACAAAGCAGGUUUUAAAAUAACUUUUUACUAUACCUUUAUUUAAAGGAAGCUGCUUUACAAUGACUGCUGUCAGUAAUCAACUACCUGUUUCUCAUGGUAAAUAAUUGGAUAAAAGAAAUGUAAAGUUUAUAUAAGGAUCCGAGGAUAUGAAACCUUAAGUAACUUGUAAGGUCUAGAAAGUGUUUUAAGGUAUGUAACUAUAAGUCAUAAAGGUCUAAGAAAAUGUGUAAAUGUAAUUUGUAACGGUAUAAGAAAGCAUUUAAGAGACAUGUAAAAAUGAAAAAUGUUUCAGAUUUAUAUUAAGACUUCAAAAGUUUAGAGUUUUAAUAUUAACCAAUGAAGUUCUAAUAAGCUAUUAAUCUAGCUCUGGUAAACACUGACUGAUAUUAUAGUCACAAGCUCAAGAUUUUAAAUUUUCUUUGGUUGUCUUCUAAAUAGAGACUUAGAAGUGCUUCUCAUUGUGCUUUAAAAAAAAACUAUCUAAUCUAUACACACCCAGUGUUCUGGAUAAAGGAAAGAGUGUUAAUGGCCCCCAAAUCAUUUUGGGUCUCAUGCUUUUUCACUAUGUCUUAAAGGUGUGAAUCUGCUGUUCUUUCUACAAUGUGGAUUUCAGUUCAGAUUACAAACAGUAGUAAUGCUAAUAUAUCUAAAACUUAA
rnacentral:lncRNA from 1 species